rnacentral:rRNA from 1 species
UACGAAGGGGGCUAGCGUUGCUCGGAAUUACUGGGCGUAAAGCGCACGUAGGCGGAUUGCUAAGUCAGGGGUGAAAUCCUGGAGCUCAACUCCAGAACUGCCUUUGAUACUGGGGAUCUCGAGUCCGGAAGAGGUUGGUGGAACUGCGAGUGUAGAGGUGAAAUGCGUAGAUAUCUGGAGGAACACCGGUGGCGAAGGCGGCAUCCUGGACCAACACUGACGCUGAGGAGCGAAAGCCAGGGGAGCAAACGGG